rnacentral:misc_RNA from 1 species
AAGUCGUAACAAGGUUUCCGUAGGUGAACCUGCGGAAGGAUCAUUACCGAACAACCAAAUCCUCUGUGCCUCCUUGUAGCAGGCAGGAUUGGGGUUCCAAGGGGCUGCCUUCCAGCACCCCUUGGUCUCCAUGCUGCCACUACGUCCUCCUAUUUUACCAAACAAAACCCGUCUGUCGCAUGUUUGUGGCAUCCCCUUGUCGGGCUUGCCCUUUAAACAUAUCAAACAUAACUUUCAACAACGGAUCUCUUGGCUCUC